GCCCCGUGCUGGGCGCGCCCCCGGCGCCGUGCUGCGCGUGGGAGCGAUGGGCGGGGCGGCCGGUUCGAGCUUUUUCUCUCGGCGCUCUGGGCCGUGACCCGGCCGCGCGCUGAGCGAGCCCUGGUCCUCUUGUUUUCGCACGGUCUGGAUGCGUCAGUAAGUUCCCCUGCGGGACCCCUCCUGCCUCAGCCUCCCAAGGUGGGAUCAGCCGGAGCCCGGGUGCGGACGCUGAGGACGUUUGGGCCGCGCCUCUGCAGCCGUCGACCGGGAGCCCCGCGUGGGCUUGGACGACCCCGCCGAUUCACAAGGCGCGCGGCGCGGGGAGGCUGAGACAGGAGGCUCGCCAGAGCCCGGGAGCGGCCGAGCAGCCCGCGCGGCCCAGCAAGCCCCUGGCCGCGGAGACCUUUCCCGGCCCUCGCCGCUUCCUGGAAAUGCAGGGUGCGAGGCAGGAGCGUCGUCGGCCGGUCCCGGUUCGUGGGGUGGCGUCUGCGGAGCGCGCGGGCUCGCCGCGCGGGAAGACCGAGGUUCGGGCCCCGCAGUCCGUCCCAACCGGUGCGGGGCUCGUCCGGAGGAGGCCGGGCCACAAGUACAAGGCAGUAGGCGUGCUCCGGCCGGCGCCGAGACGGGGGGCUGCGGGGCAGAAUCCAGCCGAGGCCGAGCCCCGACCCUGCCACUGGGGUGCAGGGGAAAAUGAGUCCAGGUGCUGGGGCCAAGCGGUGACACUCAGGGUUCCAUCCCCAGCCCCUCCCCAAAACACGCACAGGCCAAGGCGACUAUGUCGCGGUGAUCGCAGUCAGGACUCGUUCUGACGACAUCUGGACUUGCUCUCCCCGGGCUCUGCAGGGUUGUGCGCCCUUUAGAAUAAUUACUACUGUUUCUGGCGGUCGACGGUGUUACGCUUAAAGAACACGGAGUGAAGCUGACUGGGUCCCAGAGAUUGGACUGUGCCGCUUGCAACAGGCUGCACGGCGCCCCGCCCCCCCCCCCCCCCCCGGCGGCUGCAGCGCGGACUCCCUCCUGGGAAUGGGUGCAGGCAGGGUCUCACUAAGGCACCCCAUACUGAGCUUGACCUUGGCAUCCUCCUGCCUCAGCCUUCCAGAAAAUGUUGCUGCAAAAAAAACCAAAUUUUUUUAAAACUCUACAAAAUGAAAAUAUUUACUAACUGACCCUUUACAGAAAACAUUUGCCAAAAGCCCUCGUUGUGGUUUGAUAAUUCACAGUGACAUGAAAAGUGGCUUGUCUUGCUUACUUUCCGCUCGCUGCUGGGACAAAAUACCUGGCACCUAAAGGUAUAGAAGGAAAGGUUUGUUUAGCUCACAGUUUGUGAAGGUUUCAGUUUGCAGUCAGCUGGCUCCAAGGCAGGAGGCGUGCCUGGCACAGGGGCAGCCCUUCAAGGCAGCAGAAGACAGCAAAAGCAACAGGAGGAAAGGGAGGAGCAAGCUUCUAUCCCUCCCUUACGGUGUAUGCAAACUGUAUGCCGCUGUGCCCAGUGAAUAAUGGCCUAGUCUACGGCCAUACACCCUGAACGCGCCCGAUCUCGCCUGAUCUCGGAAGCUAAGCAGGGUCGGGCCUGGUUAGUACUUGAGAGAACAAUGGCCUAGAGUAAGGUCAUGUCCUCCACACACCAGGAUAGGUUACAUGACUUGUUUUUCCAUGAGUGUGGCUUCUCUGACUCGCCCCCCCCCUUCCUGAGCAGCUUCUGCAGCUCCCCCUGCACAGGGUCGCAGGCUGGGCCUCAGAUGUGCUGUGUUCCUUCCCUGCCUCUGCGUGCCUUUUCUUCAGCCUCCACUGCAGCCCUGGGUACUGCCCUGCCUGGACCUCGCUGUGGCGAGGUGCAGGCUUGGCUUUGUGCAGCUGUUUUGGGGAUGAGGUCCUCAUUGAGAUGGGGUGCUAAUCUGAUGGGCUGGUGGGAGGCCCCCAACACAUGCUGUGGGACCUGGUUUGGAGAAGGAGGCCAUGGCAGCCUGCAGGGACGGGGCCACCCCAAAAGCCAGAGUGAAAAGCUGGGGCUAUGCAGUGCUCUCCUCCCUUAGGCUGAUCGCCUCAGGGCUCUGUGUGCCCUGAUGCCUGGUCCGCCUCCCAGUGCUGGUGUUACAUGUGUGUACCACCUCGCCUCGUUGAUUCUUUAGGAAGUGUUUGCAUCUUUCUCAGCUACUUCUGAGCAGCUUUCUGUCCCCACCUCUCUAAGCAGGCACCUAGGCAGUAUGAUUGGUGCAACCUCGUAAAAUGUGUGGUUGCCCCACGGUAACACUUAGUCAAAGCUGAUUAUAGCUUGGUAUGUUUAAUAAGCACCUUUGCUCCUCACAAGAGUCCUGUGAAGUUUGUUUUGUUGUCUCAUUUAGAGAUGGAGAAACUGAGUCCAGGUGAUGGGAUUUGCACAGUUACAGAUCCAUUGGAACAGCAGGUUCUGGGGAACCUAAAUCCAAAAUUUCAAAAGCAGUUCCACCUGGGUCUUUGCACACUUAGCCUUAAGGUUUAGCUUCAUGGCCUUAAGGUUGAUGUGCUUCCCAUUCACACAGCCAGGAGCUUUGGGAAUCCACAGCGGUAUCUGACCACCACAGUUGCGGGGACUCAGACCCCAUCAAGCCUCGUGGACACUGACAGCCAGCUGAUUCGUGACCCAUGUGCAGGACACGAUGGUGUGAUUGCUCUUUUUCAGAAGUUUCCACUCAUUACUGCAAGGGUAUUCACUGGGGUGGAGGUGGAAUAAGGGUCCCCACAACUGCAUUUUCGAGAAAGGGUGUUUGCCAUGUGGAUAACCACAGGGAUGUCACCUGGGGAGGCAUGUCACUGGGUGCUGUGCUGCUGUUGGUGUCUGAGCUCUGCCCUGUUCCCCCGUAUACCACAGAGACUAAAUACAAGGGCCCCUUUGCUAAUGCUGCAUCCACAGUGUCCUGGGAGAUGCUGGCUGUAGGGUGACACGCACUCCUGCAUACUGGGUGACCACCCCCUGGAAAGGGGGCCUCCCUCCAGGACUGUCCAGGUUCCACAGCAGAGGAAAUACUGGUUUGUGGUACAGCUUCUGAGCACUAUGCUGUGUUGAUCUGGAGGGACCAGGGUUGGUGCCAUCCCCUGCUUGCAGCAAGGAUAGCCUGGUGCUCACAGUCCUGUUCUGGGGACAGAACGGCAGCACAGGAGGCUGGCACUUUGUGUGGGGCCCUGCAGAAGAACCCCUCCUGACCCCAGCUCCCAAAGGCUGCGGGCUGCAGCCGGAAGAUGGGAAGGUACUUGGAGACCAUGUGCUGGAUGAAUGCGAGGGUCUAGAAAAAGGUCUGCUUACUUCAUACGAUUCAUACAGAAGUCUGCAGCUACUGCCAGCCACUGCUGACAUGUUGGGUAAAGCCCGUCGCAUGGCCUCUGGGUUCCUGGUUUUAAUUCACCUUACACAGCACAAGGUGUUCUGCAGCUCGAUCCAUUCUCCAAGGCCCUGGUCUCGGCCCAGGCCCAAAGCUCAUGCCUUUCACUUCUCAGAACCCGUUCAGCCAGGCCAAAGCCGAAGGUCAAAACAGAGCCAUUAAUGAUAGUUAACGCUUACUGUUAAUUGCACAAAGUGCUUCUUCAGUUUCUGUUGGCAAUGGCUCUCCAUCUCACUGAGCCAGGGAAGUGCGUCCAGCUCCAAUUCACAGCCUGUACCGUCCUGCCUCAGGUUUUUCCUUCUGACGGUUGCCAGAACUCCAGGCUUAUAAUUUACAAUUCAGACUGUGUGUCACUUUGAGAGAAACCCAAACUUAAAAAAUAGGAAUGCAAAACUCAGGAAAACACCAACCCAGAUGAUAAAUCAUGGUCAGAUGUGGACACUGACGGUGCCUUGCAUUCAUUUCACCUGAGCGCAGCAGGUGCCCCCGCAGCCUUUGGCCUCCUUCCGUCUGUGACAGCUCCCUUGUCUCUUAGGUAAAAUCUUGCUCUGCAACAGCCAGGACCAAGCUUGCCUGUGGGUCCCAUAUUCCCGAGAUACUGUCACCCAGCACGCAGGAGGACUCAAAGUCUGAGCCCAGCCUGGCCAGUGUGACAAGGCCUAGGUGUCUGCGUGUCCCCAGGAUCAUCAUCUGGUCACAGCUGGGGAUGGGGGGGGUGACCGGAUUAUGGGCACCAGCAUGGACCUGCUGUCCCUUAGCUGGGGUCUGGUUGGACGUAGGUGUCACUGGGAGCACCUGGCAGGGUGUCUCACUGCCUUCAGGUAAGCAGCUGGCCAGUACCCAGGGCCAAAACCCCUAAGUCACCAGUCCACUGUGACCCUCUCCUUCCUUAAAUUGAAGGCACUUGAUAUUUUGUCCCACUGAGGAGGAAAGUGGCUGAGAUACUGUGUCUCAAGAUGACAGUGGGCCAGGACGUGACAGGAGGGGCACACACCCAGUGCUUCCCCAGUGCGGGGACGAGCAGGCUGGGUAGGCCAAGGCAGCUAGUGAGGAAGGCGCCCUCCCCUCCGGGGACAGCUGUUUCUCUGUCCCCUGAGGUUGUGUCCAGCAUGUUUCCCAGCAGUCGCAGAGUGAAGGUGGGAGGGAGUUUGUGUGAGUCUCCGGUUCAAGUCACCUUUCCACCAACUCCAGGUCCCCAUGAGCCUGAGGGUGAAGAGGGAAAACCCGGCCCUGGCUCAGACUUAGUUUCUCCCCCGCUGACAGACAACACCGAUUCCGCAGCCAUGCAUGGGGCUUCCCUGAGCUCUGCGUGGCCUGCGCCAGUGGCUCCCUGGUUUGUUCCCUUCUCCCUUUGGUGCUGAGUCAAGAGCUUGGGUGAUCGCUGCAGGCCAGCUGCCCCACAAGUGGUGUCAUGGCUGCAGUGAGGGCUCCAUUGCAGAACCGUGCCCUCUGAUGUCCCCAGAUGGGCUCACCUGCUUCCCACUAGACCGUUGAGGUCCCAUGAAUUUGUUCAACAGCUCACAAACUCAAGAGCUAACAUUCAAGAGUUUAUUUUAAUUUUCCUCCUGCACUGAGGAUUAAACCCAGGGCCCUCACAGUUACUUUCACAGCCUUAGUCCAGUUACCUGGCCUGGGCUCCAGCGUGGGGUCCUUCUGCCUCAGCCUCCCAGGGUGCUGAGGUUACAGGCAUGCACUACCAUGCCUGGCUUUACCAGUUUAUUAGGAGGAAUGGUACAAAGAGAUGAAGAAAAGCCCAGGGGAGCAUGCAGGAACGGUCCCCUCCCAGCACCUAGGCCUGCUGGAUGGUCCCCAGACUGGCUUUGGGUCUGCCUGAAGCAGCAGCACAGCAGGCUCACAGCUGGCAGGGACCCCGCAAGGCCUGUCUGCCCACAUUCCUCAGCAAGCCUGGUCCUACCUGCAAAGACGGUGGUUCGGAGAGGUGCUUUGGGUGGGGGUGGUAGAGUAGGCAGACCGGAGACUGAUCAGAGCCCCAACACUGUUCUACUCACUUAGACCUAGGGAGCCAGGAGCCAGGAGCCAGGAGCCAGGGGUGAAGACCAAACCAUCAGCACCGCAAAGGAAGAGUGCAAACAGGUUUCCUACAGAAGUAACCUCACCUUCACCGACCAGGCGAGCUCAGCCUCUGCCUGAGGCCUGGGCUUCCCCCUCCUGGUUGGCCCUGGGGUUUCAGUUUGUCUGCACUACAACUGCCAGAGUCAGCGCUUUAACAUGGGUCUUUUCCUAGGCCAAGAACAAGGAAGGACAGGAGCCUGUAAUCUCAGGGACUCUGGAGGCUGAGGCAGGAGGAUAGAAAGUAACAGCCCAGCCUUUCUCAUAUCACAAGGGCGGGAGAUACAGCUUAGUAGCAGAGCAUUUCCUUACAUACAAGAGACUUUGGGCUCAGUGCCUAGUUCCAUACCAAAUAUUUAAGUAAACAUAAAUAAAACCUUUUACUAGAAUUACGUACAAGCAUCAUCUGUCGGUUUUGUUUCUCUAGAAAAGUACCUGUUAUGCCCCAGCACAGGAUCUGCUGGAAGCUGGGCUUUUGUAUAGGAAGCAGCUCCUCUAGAGGGGGGACUGCAGAUGGAUCACCAGUGUGGAGCUAAAGCCAGGCCAGCCCUGAGACCAGGGAGAGCCCCCAGCAGGAAAACCAGCUGUUCCAGCUUGGAGAAGGCAGGGGCCCAGGCCAGCCAGGCAAACAAACUGCUAAGCAGAGGGGGUGAAACUGACCUCCUCCUCCUUCCUGAGUGUAUAAAUAAAGCUGCUCCAGUGGCUGAGCAGGCCCUUUCCUCCCAUCAGGAGAGGGCUCCAUCAGGACUCGGUUUUCCUCUUUAUUUUCCCAUCCUCUCCUUGUCCUGGUUCAUGGCGGUUCCCUAUCUAAAUCUGACAGAGCAACUGCCAGCCCACAUCCUUGUUCUGUUGGCUGUGUACAUCCUAUCCUUCCUUCAGUGGCCAGGUUUUCUUCCUAACUGCCUGCGUUAGUUUUCUAUUACUCCUGUAAAGAUUACCAAUCUAUAAAGAUAGUGGCUGAAAGCAAGGCACAUUCCUUCUCUCACAGCUCGGAAGAUCAGAAGUCCAAAGUGAGUCUCACUGGACACACAGCGAGGUACCAGCAGUCAGGCUGCUGUGGCACCAGCCUGUGCUCCCCGAUCCUCCAGAAGGGAAGGCAAGGAAAAUGGCUGAUCCUGGAUUCAAAACCAGCCUGGGUGACACAGUUAGGGUUGUCUGUCAAAACAUAAAUAAAAUCAUUUAAAAACAAAAAAAA